GACGAACGCUGGCGGCGUGCUUAACACAUGCAAGUCGAGGGGUCUCCGCAAGGGGGCACCGGCGAACGGGUGCGUAACACGUGAGCGACCUGCCGUCCCUGUGGGGGAUAGCCGGCCCAACGGCCGGGUAAUACCGCAUACGCUCUGGCCCGGGCAUCUGGGCGAGAAGAAAGCGUGGGGCAACCUGGCGCAGGACGGAGGGGCUCGCGGCCUAUCAGCUGGUUGGCGGGGUAACCGGCCCACCAAGGCGACGACGGGUAGCUGGUCUGAGAGGAUGGCCAGCCAC
rnacentral:rRNA from 1 species